rnacentral:lncRNA from 1 species
UAGGAUGGAUAUUUGGCUAAGUAUUGAUCAAUAAGAUAAAGUGGAAUUUGCUGGGUGGUGGGCGGGGUCCUUUGUGUAAUAAUUUUGUGUCUUGAUAAGGUAGGAAUAUGGCUGGGACCAUCCCCGACUCUCUUUUUUCCUUGAAUGUGAACACAUGAGUGAAGCAUACAUCCAUUGUCCAUGGAGCAAGAAACAUGAGGAUGAAAAGCCAAUAUGUUAAGGACAUGAAGUGAAAAGCGGGAAGAGCUUCUUAUUCAUGUUAUCACUGAGCAGAACGAAAUUGAUUUUACUAUAGAAUGCCCUAAAUUUUGGGGAACAGGGGGCUCUGCUCAUUAUAGUUGCCCACGGCCUCCAGUCAAUGAAAUUUCCGGCCAAUGAAAUGCUCUACUGUGACUGAAGCAGCAAAGGGAAGAUGGUGGCUUUGAAAUCAGAAUUGGAUGCGGAGGGAGUCCCAGAGGCCAACACUGUGAACAUAAGAAGGGAAAGACCAGUUCUGCAAGCACAGAUGAAAUUUUGAGAAGCAGAGCUACAGUCUGCCGGAGGCCUCUCCAGAUUGUGAUGCACUGGGAGCAAGCCACCAUGAACAUAUCCUCAGGUCUCCAGUCUUCUGCCAUCGCAUGAAAAAUGGAGCUUGUCAAACAUGGAGCAGAGAUGAACUUUCUGAAUUCCACAGGACAGUUCAGAGUGCUUGGAAUGACACCCACCCGCAAUUAAAACAAAAAAGAAGGAUUGCUGCUACAUUUGUGUGGAAAGUGCUGCUUGCCGAUAGGGAAGUAGGAGAGGAAAGAAGGAAAACAAUAAACCAAGUACAGUUUUGCAAAUACCCAGACACAUUGGAUGGACACAGAAGCUUUCACUGGGAGAUUGUGAAGGGUAGAUGCUUUGUGUCUCCAUUGCCUCCUGUGACGUGACCUCACAUUACAAGCCACUGUGGUUGGAACUGCUGGCAAAAUGGAAAGAACCAGGAAGAACAUCAAAGGAGAGUUUUAAAAGGAUAUGAAAUGUAUUAAUUUGUCAUAAUUAUCUAUUUUUGAUAGAAGAAUCUCAGAGGUACUUAAGUUGAU